UGCAGCCAUGUAGCAUUGAAACACCAGUUCUAUUAUGAUCACUGAAGUUAAGCAGCAUUGAACCACAUUAGUAUCUAGAUGGGUGACCACAUGAGAAUACCAGGUGCU